GACGAACGCUGGCAGCGUGCCUAAUACAUGCAAGUAGAACGCUGAAGAGAGGAGCUUGCUCUUCUUGGAUGAGUUGCGAACGGGUGAGUAACGCGUAGGUAACCUGCCUUGUAGCGGGGGAUAACUAUUGGAAACGAUAGCUAAUACCGCAUAACAAUGGAUGACACAUGUCAUUUAUUUGAAAGGGGCAAUUGCUCCACUACAAGAUGGACCUGCGUUGUAUUAGCUAGUAGGUGAGGUAACGGCUCACCUAGGCGACGAUACAUAGCCGACCUGAGAGGGUGAUCGGCCACACUGGGACUGAGACACGGCCCAGACUCCUACGGGAGGCAGCAGUAGGGAAUCUUCGGCAAUGGGGGCAACCCUGACCGAGCAACGCCGCGUGAGUGAAGAAGGUUUUCGGAUCGUAAAGCUCUGUUGUAAGUCAAGAACGAGUGUGAGAGUGGAAAGUUCACACUGUGACGGUAGCUUACCAGAAAGGGACGGCUAACUACGUGCCAGCAGCCGCGGUAAUACGUAGGUCCCGAGCGUUGUCCGGAUUUAUUGGGCGUAAAGCGAGCGCAGGCGGUUUGAUAAGUCUGAAGUUAAGGCUGUGGCUCAACCAUAGUUCGCUUUGGAAACUGUCAAACUUGAGUGCAGAAGGGGAGAGUGGAAUUCCAUGUGUAGCGGUGAAAUGCGUAGAUAUAUGGAGGAACACCGGUGGCGAAAGCGGCUCUCUGGUCUGUAACUGACGCUGAGGCUCGAAAGCGUGGGGAGCGAACAGGAUUAGAUACCCUGGUAGUCCACGCCGUAAACGAUGAGUGCUAGGUGUUGGAUCCUUUCCGGGAUUCAGUGCCGCAGCUAACGCAUUAAGCACUCCGCCUGGGGAGUACGACCGCAAGGUUGAAACUCAAAGGAAUUGACGGGGGCCCGCACAAGCGGUGGAGCAUGUGGUUUAAUUCGAAGCAACGCGAAGAACCUUACCAGGUCUUGACAUCCCGAUGCUAUUUCUAGAGAUAGAAAGUUACUUCGGUACAUCGGUGACAGGUGGUGCAUGGUUGUCGUCAGCUCGUGUCGUGAGAUGUUGGGUUAAGUCCCGCAACGAGCGCAACCCCUAUUGUUAGUUGCCAUCAUUCAGUUGGGCACUCUAGCGAGACUGCCGGUAAUAAACCGGAGGAAGGUGGGGAUGACGUCAAAUCAUCAUGCCCCUUAUGACCUGGGCUACACACGUGCUACAAUGGUUGGUACAACGAGUUGCGAGUCGGUGACGGCAAGCUAAUCUCUUAAAGCCAAUCUCAGUUCGGAUUGUAGGCUGCAACUCGCCUACAUGAAGUCGGAAUCGCUAGUAAUCGCGGAUCAGCACGCCGCGGUGAAUACGUUCCCGGGCCU
rnacentral:rRNA from 1 species